rnacentral:rRNA from 1 species
UCAGGACGAACGCUGGCGGCGUGCCUAAUACAUGCAAGUCGAACGGUCUUUCUAUGGAAGCUUGCUUCCACUGAGAAGAUAGUGGCGAACGGGUGAGUAACACGUGGGUAACCUGCCCAUAAGAGGGGGAUAACAUCCGGAAACGGGUGCUAAUACCGCAUAGUUUUCUUGAUCGCAUGAUCGGGAAAGGAAAGACGGCCUUUGUGCUGUCGCUUAUGGAUGGACCCGCGGCGUAUUAGUUAGUUGGUGAGGUAACGGCUCACCAAGACGAUGAUACGUAGCCGACCUGAGAGGGUGAUCGGCCACAUUGGGACUGAGACACGGCCCAAACUCCUACGGGAGGCAGCAGUAGGGAAUCUUCCGCAAUGGACGAAAGUCUGACGGAGCAACGCCGCGUGAGUGAAGAAAGGUUUUCGGACCGUAAAACUCUGUUGUCAGAGAAGAACAAGUUGGAGAGUAACUGCUCCAGCCUUGACGGUAUCUGACCAGAAAGCCACGGCUAACUACGUGCCAGCAGCGGC